GACGAACGCUGGCGGCGUGCUUAACACAUGCAAGUCGAACGGAAAGGCCUGCUUUCCCUUGUGGAUUGCGGGUACUCGAGUGGCGAACGGGUGAGUAACACGUGAGUGAUCUGCCCCCAACUUGGGUAUAAGCCUGGGAAACUGGGUCUAAUUCCCGAUAGGACUGCAGGGUGGUGCCUGUGGUGGAAAACGAUUUUCUAGUGGUUGGGGAUGAGCUCGCGGCCUAUCAGCUUGUUGGUGGGGUAAUGGCCUACCCAGGCGGCGACGGGUAGCCGGCCUGAGAGGGUGGACGGCCACAGUGGGACUGAGAUACGGCCCAGACUCCUACGGGAGGCAGCAGUGGGGAAGAUUGGACAAUGGGCGGAAGCCUGAUGCAGCGACGCCGCGUGGGGGAUGACGGCCUUCGGGUUGUAAACUCCUUUCGACCGCGAGGAAGCCACCUGGUUGGAAGGGUGGUGACGGUAGUGGUAGAAGAAGCACCGGCUAACUACGUG
rnacentral:rRNA from 1 species